CCUCUUCUUCAGGCAUGUCCUAACACUCCUGAGUCCUGGCCUUGUUGCAGACAAAAAAUACCAUAAUAAAAGGUCAAGAGGCAGGGCAUGGUGGCUCACACCAAUAAUCCCAACACUUGGGAGGCCAAGGCAGGAGGAGUGCUUGACCCCAGGAGUUCGAGACCAGUCUGGGCAACAUAAGGAUAUUUCCUCGCUACAAAAGUAAAAAAAAAAAAUAGCCAGGUGUGGUGGUGCAUGCCUGUGGUCCCAGCUACUUGGGAGGCUAAGGUGGGAGGAUCGCUUGGGCCCAGGAGGUUGGGGCUGCAGUAAGUGGAUAUCCAGUAGUUAAACAACCUUGGUGUCUAAGAGGAACUGUGCUGAUACAUGGGGCUUCCUGACAUUUUUCCGACGUACUCUGUUCCAGUGCUUUGCACAGAACACACAGUGUUCACAGCCGGGAGACCAGCUAGGAGGCCUCAGCUGCUAUGGGCACCACCUGGCUGCUCCCUGGGGAUCAGUACUGUGACCCCAUUUUAAUGUGGUACUGUAGGAAGUCUUGCUAAUGGAACGACUGCCCCUGACUAAAACUGACUUCGCAAAGAUUAUGACAGUGAGAUAAGUCUGGCCUGGGCUCACUCCAUCUCGCUUCUAGCCUCACAGGCUGGCUGCCCUCACUUAUCCCUGGGCAUAGGCCAAGCUACUCAGGGGAGGAAUUUAUAGUCUAACUUUAAAGCAAGGAUGAUAAUAGUCUCACCCUAAAACUAACUCCUCCUUGUUCAGUGGCUGAAAACACCUUUGUAAGACUAAUGAAGAGCCACAAGAUUAGGAUUCUGGUAGGGGCCUGAAUUCUGCUACACUGUAGGCUUAAUUUCUAUAAUCCCUUACUGUAGAGGAGUCACAUGGCCAGAGGUCACAAGAUUUGUGACUUUCUCAGUUGUUCAUAUAAAUAACAUCACUAUUACAGAACAUAAGAUUGGCCUUUUCAGAUGUUUUUCAGACUGACCCCACCUAGACUUGUGACUCACGACUUAACCAGUCCUGUGCACCCCCCACCACACAAAGGUGGACUUAGUGUAUAAGGACCGUUUCCCACACUCGUAUGAUUCUCAACCAAUCAGCAGCACCCAUUACCUAGUCCCCUGCCCACCAAACUAUCCUUGAAAAACCCUAACCUCUGAGCCUUCGGGAGACUGAUUUGGGUAAUAACUGUCUUCCACAUGGGCAGACUCCCGUUAAUUCAACUCUUGCUUUACUGCAAGAUCACAGUCUCAGUGAACUGGUUUUGUCUGUGCAGCACACAGGAAUAACCCAUCACCUGAUUACACAACCACUGAACAAGAAGACCUAUCCUCUUAAUCUCUGUGCUCACUUCUAGACUGGCCUAGCACAGGAUAGAUGCUCAGUGCUGUGAUUCAACAAGUGUUCACUGAAUGCUCAUCAAGCUCUACCUGAUUUAAAUGGUGACCCAGAUGAUGUCCUGUGGCAGAUUCUGGAGAGGUUGCAGGUAGAGUUAGCAUCGUAGGUGACAUCAGCACUUGCCCAGGCCCCCGGCUUAGAAGGCCCUGCACUUAGUUUAGUAACCUGC
rnacentral:lncRNA from 10 species